rnacentral:rRNA from 1 species
UACAGAGGUCCCAAGCGUUGUUCGGAUUCACUGGGCGUAAAGGGUGCGUAGGCGGUCGGGUAAGUCUGAUGUGAAAUCUCACAGCUUAACUGUGAAACUGCAUUGGAUACUAUUCGGCUAGAGAGUUGGAGGGGGGACUGGAAUUCUUGGUGUAGCAGUGAAAUGCGUAGAUAUCGGGAGGAACACCAGUGGCGAAGGCGGCGAUCUGGGAAGAUACUGACGCUGAGGUGCGAAAGCGUGGGGAGCAAACAGG